UCCAGUCGCCUUUUUUAGUUAAAUCUUGUGCCUCUAUUGAGAGAGAGUGUCACAAAAAGCUGCAGAGAGAAAGUAUGAUUUUAUUUCGCUGUUUUCACUCGACAGGACGGCUUGUGAGUGCAUCCUGUGUACUUGCUGCAGCACCAGCUGUCCCAGCUACUGGUGGAACGGAGACAAACACCUGGGAGCUGCUGUCCUCGUGCAGGAUGGAUGAUCGACGCCCGCGACGAGUUCACCGAGGAGCUUUUGGCUAAACUCCAGGACCCUUUCUCCCUUUACCGCUGCCACACCACCAUGAACUGUACGAAGACUUGCCCCUAGGGUCUCAACCCAGGAAAGGCCAUCGCAGAGAUCAAGAAAUAUGCUAGAACUGCUUUUGAAAGAAAAGAAAAUGCUAC